UGAUCCCUGCGGUGUUUGUUAAGGCCCAUAUUCUUUGAACCAAUUAUUAGAAAUGGUUGCUGACUUAUGUGACGCUGUUGUGCGCGCCUUAACGGGAUGCGCCUGAUGCGUCCAGGAAGCAACCGCCUUGGACCUAAGGGUUCAAGAUGAUGGUCUGACGGCAUUUGUGGGGAGCUU
rnacentral:other from 1 species